rnacentral:lncRNA from 1 species
GUAUUUAACGCAAAAUUCCUAUUGUCUUCAAAGGUGAGGGUGCCAGACAUGUAGCAGAGCAGACAUAGAAGAUGCAUCUCAUGACAAACCCCAGACCUGAGAAGCUGUGGCAAAACCCUCGUAUAUUCUGAAAACAAACUGCUGCAACUAACAUGCAAAAAUCUCACCAAAUCCUUUGCUAAAAGCGGCUUUCCCUUGGGUGACAAUGCUGAUUAUCCGGCUGGGAUUGACAAGUAUAGUUGAAGAAAUUAAUUUCCUUUGCAGUUGCCCUCCUGCAGGGGAGGCAGCAUGUCAGAGCGGGACCUCGACGCGGGCGUUUUCACACGACGGCAAACCUCGCCGUCCGAGGGGAGCACCCGAUUCCCGUGUCGCCGCACAGCGAGGCACCUGCUGUUCAUGGGCACCCUGCAAUAGAUCAAACCAAGCCUGCUUCAGAGAAAAGGCCUCCUCCAGCUGCUUGCACCAGAUCUGAGGUAAGUUUUUUUUUUUUUUUUUUUUUUGCAGAAGCUGAGGAGUU